rnacentral:lncRNA from 1 species
CAGGAAUUGCCAUAAUGGUAUUUGAUGCACCCAUGUCUAGAAGAUGUACUUUGGGCCCCUCAUUACUAGAAAGAUUCACAGAUGCCUCUAUGUUGACUCAGCUGGUUAAAUACACAUUUUCAAACAAAAUAUUUGAAGCAACUGAUGCCAAAUUCCUCCUGACAUUCACAAUAAUAUUGAACUUGACUCAAUCAGACUAGU